rnacentral:rRNA from 1 species
CCUACGCGUGGCAGCAGUGGGGAAUAUUGCACAAUGGGGGAAACCCUGAUGCAGCAACGCCGCGUGAGUGAAGAAGUAUUUCGGUAUGUAAAGCUCUAUCAGCAGGGAAGAAGAUGACGGUACCUGAUUAAGAAGCCCCGGCUAACUACGUGCCAGCAGCCGCGGUAAUACGUAGGGGGCAAGCGGUCUCCGGAUGUACGGGGUGGAAAGGGAAAGUAGGUGGCAAGGCAAGGCAGAUGUGAAAACCCGGGGCCCAACCCCGGGAGUGCAUUUGAAACUGGCUGGCUAGAGUGCAGGAGAGGUAAGUGGAAUUCCUGGUGUAGCGGUGAAAUGCAUAGAUAUUAGGAGGAACACCAGUGGCGAAGGCGGCUUACUGGACUGUAACUGACACUGAGGCUCGAAAGCGUGGGGAGCAAACAGGAUUAGAUACCCCAGUAGUC